rnacentral:rRNA from 1 species
UACGGAGGGUGCAAGCGUUGUCCGGAAUCACUGGGCGUAAAGGGCGCGUAGGCGGCUCGGUAAGUAGGGGGUGAAAUCCUGCGGCUUAACCGCAGGGCUGCCUUCUAAACUGUCGAGCUUGAGCACGGUAGGGGCAGAUGGAAUUCCCGGUGUAGCGGUGGAAUGCGUAGAGAUCGGGAAGAACAUCAGUGGCGAAGGCGGUCUGCUGGGCCGUUGCUGACGCUGAGGCGCGACAGCGUGGGGAGCGAACAGG